UAUCAUGGCUCAGGGAUGAACGCUAGCUACAGGCCUAACACAUGCAAGUCGCGGGGCAGCAUGUAUCUGGCUUGCCAGAUACGAUGGCGACCGGCGCACGGGUGAGUAACGCGUAUCCAACCUGCCCAUAACCACGGCACAGCCCGUCGAAAGGCGGAUUAAUGCCGUAUGAGGUUCCGGCGUAGCAUUAUGAUGGAACGAAAGGAUUGGCGGUUAUGGAUGGGGGAUGCGUCCGAUUAGCUUGUUGGCGGGGUAACGGCCCACCAAGGCAACGAUCGGUAGGGGUUCUGAGAGGAAGGUCCCCCACAUUGGAACUGAGACACGGUCCAAACUCCUACGGGAGGCAGCAGUGAGGAAUAUUGGUCAAUGGGCGAGAGCCUGAACCAGCCAAGUAGCGUGCAGGACGACGGCCCUAUGGGUUGUAAACUGCUUUUAUAAGGGAAUAAAGUGAGUCUCGUGAGACUUUUUGCAUGUACCUUAUGAAUAAGGACCGGCUAAUUCCGUG
rnacentral:rRNA from 1 species